ACCUGCCCAAUGAGAAGUUUAAUGGCCGCAGUAUUUUGACUGUGCAAAGGUAGCAUAAUCAUUAGUUUUUUAAUUAAGAACUGGAAUGAAUGGUUGGACGAGAAAGUGACUGUCUCUUUAUAAAUUAAAUAGAAUUUUAUUUUUAAGUUAAAAAGCUUAAAUAUAGUUAAAAGACGAGAAGACCCUAUAGAGUUUUAUACAUUAAUUAAUAAUAAUAAUUAAAUUUUAAUUUUUUGAAUUAUAUAAAUUUUUGUAUUUAAUUGGGGUGAUUAAAAAAUUUUAUUAACUUUUUUUUAAAAAAAUCAUUAAUAUAUGAUUUUCUGAUCCUUUUUUUUAAGAUUAUAAGAUUAAAUUACCUUAGGGAUAACAGCGUAAUUUUUUUAGAGAGUUCUAAUCGAUAAAAAAGUUUGCGACCUCGAUGUUGGAUUAAAAUUAAUUUUUGGUGUAGAAGCUAAAAUAUUAGGUCUGUUCGACCUUUAAAAUUUUACAUGAUCUGAGUUUAAACCGGCGUGAGCCAGGUUGGUUUCUAUCUUUAACAAAUAACGAUAUUUUAGUACGAAAGGACCAAAUAUAGAUAAAAUUUAU
rnacentral:rRNA from 1 species